UACAGAGGGGGCAAGCGUUGUUCGGAAUCACUAGGCGUAAAGCGCAGGUAGGCGGUUUGGUAAGUCUUUUGUGAAAGCUCCCGGCUCAACUGGGAGAGGCCAAGGGAAACUACCGGACUAGAGUGUGGUAGGGGAUACUGGAAUUCCUGGUGUAGCGGUGAAAUGCGUAGAUAUCGGGAAGAACAUCGGUGGCGAAGGCGGUCUGCUGGGCCGUUGCUGACGCUGAGGCGCGACAGCGUGGGGAGCAAACAGG
rnacentral:rRNA from 1 species